UGCAGGGUAGCCUAGUGGACAUGGCAUCUGCCCGGUAAGCAGAACACUGUGGGUUCGAUUCCCAUCCCUGGAC